rnacentral:siRNA from 1 species
AUGGAUUGUCAAAGUCAAAUGUGG